rnacentral:rRNA from 1 species
CAGCUCGUCAUGCUAGAGCACUUUUUCAAUGUGCUCCCUAACGAGAAGGUGACAACGCAUUCGUAUGUCAAUCCAUAUCAACUGCGCCUACCAUGGUGACCACGGGUAACGGGGAAUCAGGGUUCGAUUCCGUACAGGGACCCUGACAAAUGGCUACCACAUGCAAAGAAGUCAGCAGGCGCAAAUGACCCACUCAAGACACGGGAAGGUAGUGA